GCCUUCGUAGUGUAGUGGUCAGCACGCUCGACAUAUAACCGAGAGGUCCGUGGUUCGAUUCCCAGCGAAGGCG
rfam:Stegodyphus mimosarum contig122937, whole genome shotgun sequence.